AGUCUGACCUGCCCUAUGAUAUUUAUUAAAUGGCCGCGAUAUUUUGAUCGUGCAAAGGUAGCAUAAUAAUUAGUUUUUUAAUUGGGAACUGGAAUGAAAGGUCGAACGAGAAUAAAACUGUCUCGAUUUAAAUUUAAUUAGAAUUUUAUUUUUAAGUAAAAAAGCUUAAAUAAUUUUAAAAGACGAGAAGACCCUAUAGAGUUUUAUAUAUAAGUUAAAUUUUUUAGUUUAAGAAUUUUAUUAUUAAAUUAUGUUUUAUAUAUUUAGUUGGGGUGAUUGAAAAAUUUAAUUAACUUUUUUUAUAAUAAUACAUUGAUAUAUGAAUUUAUGAUCCAUUUUUUAUGAUUAAAAGAUUAAAUUACCUUAGGGAUAACAGCGUAAUUUUUUUUGAGAGUUCUAAUCGAAAAAAAAGUUUGCGACCUCGAUGUUGGAUUAAAAUAAAUUUUUGGUGUAGAAGCUAGAAAAUUAGGUCUGUUCGACCUUUAAAAUUUUACAUGAUCUGAGUUUAAACCGGUGUAAGCCAGGUUGGUUUCUAUCUUUAA
rnacentral:rRNA from 1 species